AUACUUAUCUAGUAGGGGGACACCAUGAUCAGGAGGGUGACUUUCCCUGAGUGAGGCUCAUUCAUUCCAUUUGUCAUAUGCUGACUCCUGCAAUUUCCUCAAAUUUGGAAAAGUUGGCUGUAUAAUUUGUGGUAGUGGGAGACUGUGUUCACACUCUGCCCUG